rnacentral:lncRNA from 1 species
GCCAGAGCCACCGCCUCCGCCGCCGCCGCCGCUAUAGAAACCGCAGCCGCCAGAGCCGCCUCCGCUGCCGCCGCCGCCGCCACCGCCGCCACCGCCGGAGAUCUUCCCGCAGCCCACUGGGGGCUGGGGAGUGGGUUGCUUUUUCUGGUGAGACAUCUUGUCUAAGGAGGGAGGGAAGCCUGGAAAGAAAGCAGAGAGCAUCACUGGACCAGCGGCAGGAGGAUGCGGGGAGGAGGCAGUUGCACCAGGUAACACCCAUCAUCUGGAGCAGCACUGCCUGGGCCAGGCUUGAAGUUCUCUCUGCUCAGAUCCGGGAGAGCUCUCCGCUGGGACUCCUAGGAUUGUACUUUUAGAAAAGAGUUGCACUCCCUCGCCGAAAGUCUUUACCAAGCUUUACAUCGCCAGCUUAGUGGUGCCCAUUUCUCUCGCCUAGCUCUGCGUCUGGCCUCUGCUGUGUGAUUUUGGGGGCAGAUAUCCCAUCCUGCGGCCUGUUUCCUCACUUCUGUAAAAUGCGAGGGUUCGUGCGCUUCAUCUCUCAGAUCUCCAACGCUGAUUCUCUGAGCGCAAACAGAAAAUUACACAAACCUCCACCUAGGGUGGGAGAUUUGACUCAUCCCUGACACAACAGAGGGAGGUUUGUCGGAAUGUUGGAGGGUUGGGUUGCACCCCUUUCUCUGCAAAAGUCCUUAGUUCAGACUCUUGGUCUAUCCCACUGAGCUCAGCCUGAUCCCAGUCCAGUUAUCAGAAAAGGCAGGCUCUCCCAUGGUCCUGUCUGGACUCUAACGACCCUUUGGACCAGCAUCUCUGGCCAGAAGACAUCAGCCAUCGCCCUUUCUAUUUGCUAAAGUCCAAGCUUGGUUAAGGGGACUAUAAAUAGUAGGAACCCGUGUCUCAGCAUCUCACAAGUCAUUUUCCUCUCAGAACAUCUCUCUGUAAAACAGGCAUUGGGUUCCCUUGGAUCCUAAAAUUUCUCCCACCUGCAGCAAUCUCUGAAUCAUUCUCCUUCUCCCCACUCUCUAGAGUAGGCUCAACCUCUCCUCCCCACAGGACCUCCUGAGGUCCUUUUAGCCCCUUCACAGGCUGCAUGGGACAGUCUCUGCAGAGUGCCCCUCUGCCCAGCACUGGGGGCCUGCCACUCCAGGGGUGCUGGAGAGACAGGAGAUAGUCUUCUCUUUGUGGAGUUUACAUUCUAGCCAGAAGACCAGAAACACCAUCUGCACAGCAGCAGCUCAGCCCUUGUCUCUUUCCUGCCUGAAUUCCCUCUCAACAUGAAUGCAGUUGGGAAGCAGAGGUCCAGUAGCUCCUGAAGGGGUAAGGGCCUUGCCUGUCCAUUGUCCCCUGGUCUGCCUAGUCUCUGCAGGCCUGGGCAAGAUCACCUGGGAAGAUGAGAGCCAGGAGAACCCACACUUACCCAAAGCACCAGGAAGGGUGAGUGAAGAGAGAAGAUGCUGGCUAUGUGAGGAGCACUGGAGCUCCCGAGGUUUUAUACAUUGAGCCCUGACUCAUCUAUUGAUUCCGGCCAGCCUCUCACAUUUGGCCUCAGUUACGUGACCCAUGGCUGUUGCCCCACCUGCCUGUGAUUGCAGGCACAGGGUGGCCCAUUCAUGAAGAUUUUGGCAUUCUUGAGAUGGGCAGCCUCAUGUGUGACUGGCCCCUUCUCUGAUGCAACUGUGUGACAGUCUGGCCAGCAGGGACAGCCAGCCAGAGUGGAUGGCAGACAUUGUUUCCAAAGCCUCUGGCAUGGGAUGCGUGCCAUAACCAGAGGGCUGGGCUUGAGGAAUAGGUUCCCUAUUCUGAAGGUGGCCUAGAGGGUCAUGCUGGACAUCUCAGUCCUUGGCCCAAGGAGUAGGACCUUUCAAAUCUCACUGUUUGGCUUCUGAUCCCAUUGCUUGGAAACCCUCGGAACUUUAGAGAGAGCCUGUCUCUCUUUUGGCAAAAGUUUCUCCCCCAAGAUUUCAUGUGUGCUUUGCUGGGGUAUUUCUGUCUUGCCCUUGCAUUUGAGAGAGUGCGAGAGCCCCCGGCACCCAGUUCUGGGCCGCAUACCAUGGAUGCUGCUAUAACUAAUGGAACUCCGUAGCUCCUUUGAUUUGUUCUUGGAGACAGCAAGUGUCUGAGAAAAUUGUACAUUGGUCCUGACUUUCCCUGCAGAGGAGCAACCUAAAGAGAUUGACCAUGUGGUCUUUCCUUUGGCUCUGGGGUCUGUGGUCUUCUGCAUCAAGACUGACCCCAGCCUAAGAGGCAGCUGUGGAAUGGAAUAGACUUGAGGUUAGGUGACUGGUUUUGGGUGCUCCCUUUUCUACUUGCCAACAGUGUCACCUUGGGCAGAGUCACAGCACCUUACUCAGUGGCCGCAUAUAGAAGCCCCUCGGAAAUUGCCAUCAUGGACAAAUCCAAAAUGAAGUAGACGUGGAAGGCUGAGAUUUGGAACAAACUGCUAUGGCUGGGAAGUAGCAAGUAGAGUCCUAUAGACCACCCAGCCUGGAAAGUAUCAUCCUAUUUGCUGCUGUCAUUCCAGGCCACGUAUCCUUCCAAGUACCCUUCCACGUGACCUUCCCUCUGCUUGUCUUGCCAAAUGGCAGUAGCAAAAAUGGAGGAGGGGCUUUGGUCUCAGCAGCCAGGUACCAUGACGAGUCCCAUUUUACUCCUGAAGAAAUGGAGGCAAAAAGAAGUAACAUACUUACUCAGGGUCGCACAACUCUAAGUGGCAGAUCCUUUAUAAAGGCUGGCCACCUUGACAAGGGUUUUACAAUCAGGACCUGAUUUUAUCUCUACAAUAACCCUGAGAAGUAGGUACUGAUCUCUCCAUUUAACAGGCACGACACAGGCUCUGGAGUCAGACCACAUAGGAUUGAUUCCCCGCUCUGCCACCUGCCAGUUGAAGGGCCCUGGAGGAUCUUGCAGGACUGCAGUUUCCUCCCUGGGAGAAGAAGGCAAGGAAGCUGGAGAGCAGACCAGCCUGCACCACACAUACACAAAUCGCAUCUCUAAAGAAUGUACACGGCAGAAAUGAAGGGUCCAAAGCAAACCAGCUGUGAAGCACAAAGACCAACCAGGACCCCAAACAUUCCAUCUCAUCCUUCCUGAUUGACUGUUGGGAUUCAAUCAUUUACAUAAUUUGUUUCAUUUUUUUUUUUUAAAGCACAACCCAUCCAAUCAUUUGCUGUUCUUUUUUAGGAAGCAGAGACAAAAUUACCCAAUUUUUGAUUUUUGCAACACCACCCACCUCUUCCCCACACCCAUGGUGGGAGUCAGUGAUCAGUGCAAAGUCCAUUGAAAUUCAGUUUGUUUUGAGGCUCGAUUGAGAGGCUGACUCUCUGAAAGAUGAAUGGAGGCAUCCUUGGCUGUUACACACCCAGGGAUGGGUGAAUUUUUGCCCCAAGGGAGCUGAACUAGGCUUCUGUGGUCUCCUCUGACAACCAUAAUCUUCCUACAGUUGAGACUUUCUACUAGACUGCUGAGAACAAUACUUAUUCACAGAGGUCCAUGAAAUACAGAAAGAACUGUCUUCAGAGACACAGAGCAAGUCCUGAAACACUGAGGAAGUCUGGAGGCAAGAACAGGGUGCACACAGAGGUACCCACAGGAGAAGGUCACCAUUGCAUGGGCUGGGGAUGGGUUUUCAUCUCUUGGCCAUCUUCUUGACCCCAGAUGGCAUUAUAAGCAGCUACUUUCCCUUGCCAGGGGGUAAGCACUUCUCCUGGACUUUCUGUGGGCAAACCUCCACACAUUUUGUCUGAGAUAGCUCCUGGCAUGGCUCCACACACUGAGGUGGGCAUUGGUCUUGGCAUGGAGGUAGGCAUGGAUCUUGGCCUUGCUGUGGGCAGUUUUCUUGGUUUAACUCCUGGCACUGAGGAAGACACGCCUGCUGAGAUUGCACUGGGCACUUUUCUUGGCAGGGGUCUUGGCGUGGGGGGAGGCACACCUCCUCAGUCUUUGCCUGGCACUGCUCUUGGAUCUUCUGAAGACACGGAGGAGGCGUGCAUGGCUGCUUGCACUGCUGCUCAUUAAAAGACAUCCUAGGGUGAUUUGCAGAACCUGA